GACGAACGCUGGCGGCGUGCUUAACACAUGCAAGUCGAACGGAAAGGCCCUGCUUUUGUGGGGUGCUCGAGUGGCGAACGGGUGAGUAACACGUGAGUAACCUGCCCUUGACUUUGGGAUAACUUCAGGAAACUGGGGCUAAUACCGGAUAGGAGCUCCUGCUGCAUGGUGGGGGUUGGAAAGUUUCGGCGGUUGGGGAUGGACUCGCGGCUUAUCAGCUUGUUGGUGGGGUAGUGGCUUACCAAGGCUUUGACGGGUAGCCGGCCUGGGAGGGUGACCGGCCACAUUGGGACUGAGAUACGGCCCAGACUCCAACGGGAGGCAGCAGUGGGGAAGAGUGCACAAUGGGCGGAAGCCUGAUGCAGCAACGCCGCGUGCGGGAUGACGGCCUUCGGGUUGUAAACCGCUUUCGCCUGUGACGAAGCGUGAGUGACGGUAAUGGGUAAAGAAGCACCGGCUAACUACGUG
rnacentral:rRNA from 1 species